CCUACGGGAGGCAGCAGUGGGGAAUAUUGCACAAUGGGGGAAACCCUGAUGCAGCGACGCCGCGUGAGCGAUGAAGUAUUUCGGUAUGUAAAGCUCUAUCAGCAGGGAAGAAGGUGACGGUACCUGACUAAGAAGCCCCGGCUAACUACGUGCCAGCAGCCGCGGUAAUACGUAGGGGGCAAGCGUUAUCCGGAUGUACUGGGGGGAAAGGGAGCGUAGACGGCGAUGCAGGCCAGAUGGGAAAGCCCGGGGCUCAAACCCGGGACUGCAUUUGGAACUGUGUGGCUGGAGUGUGGGAGAGGCAGGCGGAAUGCGUAGUGUAGCGGUGAAAUGCGUAGAUAUUAGGAGGAACCCCCGUGGCGAAGGCGGCCUGCUGGACGAUGACUGACGUUGAGGCACGAAAGCGUGGGGAGCAAACAGGAUUAGAUACCCUAGUAGUC
rnacentral:rRNA from 1 species